rnacentral:rRNA from 1 species
AGAGUUUGAUCAUGGCUCAGAACGUACGCUGGCGGCACGCCUAACACAUGCAAGUCGAACGAAGUAGCAAUACUUAGUGGCAGACGGGUGAGUAACAUGUAGGUAUCUGCCCUUUGGCCUGGAAUAACACGAGGAAACUUGUGCUAAUACCGGAUAAGUCCUUACGGAGAAAGCUUUAUGCACCAAUGGAUGAGCCUGCACUUGAUUAGUUUGUUGGUGGGGUAAUGGCCUACCAAGACUGUGAUCAAUAGCUGAUUUGAGAGGAUGAUCAGCCACAUUGGGACUGAGACACGGCCCAAACUCCUACGGGAGGCAGCAGUGGGGAAUCUUGCACAAUGGAGGAAACUCUGAUGCAGCGAUGCCGCGUGAGUGAAGAAGGCCUUUGGGUUGUAAAGCUCUUUCGUCGGGGAAGAAAAUGACUGUACCCGAAUAAGAAGGUCCGGCUAACUUCGUGCCAGCAGCCGCGGUAAUACGAAGGGACCUAGCGUAGUUCGGAAUUACUGGGCUUAAAGAGUUCGUAGGUGGUUGAAAUAGUUGGUGGUGAAAUCCCAGAGCUUAACUCUGGAACUGCCAUCAAAACUUUUCAGCUAGAGUAUGAUAGAGGAAAGCAGAAUUUCUAGUGUAGAGGUGAAAUUCGUAGAUAUUAGAAAGAAUACCAAUUGCGAAGGCAGCUUUCUGGAUCAUUACUGACGCUGAGGAACGAAAGCAUGGGUAGCGAAGAGGAUUAGAUACCCUCGUAGUCCAUGCCGUAAACGAUGUGUGUUAGACGUUGGAAAUUUAUUUUCAGUGUCGCAGCGAAAGCGAUAAACACACCGCCUGGGGAGUACGACCGCAAGGUUAAAACUCAAAUGAAUUGACGGGGACCCGCACAAGUAGUGGAGCAUGUGGUUUAAUUCGAAGAUACGCGCAGAACCUUACCAACACUUGACAUGUUCGUCGCGACUCUGAGAGAUUAGAGUUUUCGGUUCGGCCGGACGAAACACAGGUGCUGCAUGGCUGUCGUCAGCUCGUGUCGUGAGAUGUUGGGUUAAGUCCCGCAACGAGCGCAACCCUCACUUUUAGUUGCCAUCAUUUAGUUGGGCACUCUGAAAGAACUGCCAGUGAUAAGCUGGAGGAAGGUGGGGAUGACGUCAAGUCCUCAUGGCCCUUACGUGUUGGGCUACACACGUGCUACAAUGGUAUCUACAACAGGAAGCAAAACUGCGAAGUUAAGCAAAUCCUUAAAAGAUACCUCAGUUCGGAUUGCACUCUGCAACUCGAGUGCAUGAAGCUGGAAUUACUAGUAAUCGUGGAUCAGCGUGCCACGGUGAAUGCGUUCCCGGGUCUUGUACACACCGCCCGUCACACCAUGGGAGUUGGUUCUACCUUAAGGCAAGGUUUAAAACCCUUGACCACGGUAUAGUCAGCGACUGGGGUGAAGUCAUAACAAGGUAACCGUA